rnacentral:tRNA from 1 species
GCCCCCGUAGCUCAGUGGAUAGAGCGCAGGCCUCCGAAGCCUGAAGCAUCGGUUCGAGUCCGAUCGGGGGUA